rnacentral:snoRNA from 1 species
UGUAUCUUUAAGACUUACAGAUACAAAUAGUAAAUCCACUUUUGCAACCCAGAACUCACUGCUGAGUAUAAACUUUGGUAUGUAUAAGAAGGAAUAUG